CAGGCCUUUUUUAAAGAGUGAAACCACCUCUGUUGGGGCUCUCAGGGGUCCAAAAGAGAAAGCAUCAAAAGGAUCAGAUACACAUGGUUGAGGAUAAAUAUCCCUAAGGGACCUGCAAUGAUAUCCCUUGUGUGAAAGAACCAAGACUGAAAAUCUGUUACACCCAGAUGGCACUACUCUGAGAUAUAACUCAGAAGGACUGGGAUCCUAACACUGCAGUCUGAUGGAGACCUAGCCUGUCCUCAUAGUGAGAGACGUGCAUACCAGACACUGAAUGAUCAUGAAGUUGUUACCGGUUGUUGAUUACCUACUUGUGUCAAAUGUAUGCCCUCCGUAAUUCUGGUACUCACUGCAGCACUGCAGUGUUAUUACAGGUGUUCCUGGCCUGCCUACCAGUGCCUGCAAUCUUUCAAUAUAUAAUUCUUAAGUAGGGGACUAACUCCUAGGAAUUCUACAUUAAAAUCUCACCCCAUUGAUCUGCCUUAGUAUUUAGAUCACAAGGCAGAGAGGCAGAGAGAGAG